UUGACUCUUCCUCAGACCCCCAUCUUCCUGUCAAUGCAGUCACAUGGUUUGUGGCUUCUUCUGCUUCACUUCCAUCAGACCAAGAGGCCACAAGACUCCUCUUUUGUUUCCUGAGGUAGGUCCCACAUUCAGUUUUAAUAUGACCAUACCCAUUGCACUCAUAGCACUGAACAUCUUUGGGCUUUUCUUCAGACUUUGGUUUCUUACCAAAGCUAUUGGAUUUGUCAGAUGUGAUGUUCUUGACAUUUCCCUUUGCUCUCACAUCUACCCUUUUUAUCAGUCUGUUGAACUGUCUUCCCAGCAUUGUUAUCUCAUUUG
rnacentral:lncRNA from 1 species